UACAGAGGGUGCGAGCGUUGUUCGGAAUUAUUGGGCGUAAAGCGCUUGUAGGCGGCACGUCAAGUCGCGUGUGAAAUCCCCAGGCUUAACCUGGGAAGUGCGCGCGAAACUGACGAGCUUGAGUGCCGGAGAGGGUCGCGGAAUUCCCGGUGUAGAGGUGAAAUUCGUAGAUAUCGGGAGGAACACCAGUGGCGAAGGCGGCGACCUGGACCGUAACUGACGCUGAGACACGAAAGCGUGGGUAGCAAACAGG
rnacentral:rRNA from 1 species